CACGUAGGGUGCGAGCGUUGUCCGGAAUUAUUGGGCGUAAAGAGCUCGUAGGCGGUGUGUCGCGUCGGCCGUGAAAACCUGCAGCUUAACUGUGGGCUUGCGGUCGAUACGGGCAUCACUGGAGUUCGGCAGGGGAGACUGGAAUUCCGGGUGUAGUGGUGGAAUGCGUAGAGAUCCGGAGGAACACCAGCGGCGAAGGCGGCAUCCUGGACUGGUCCUGACACUCAGGAGCGAAAGCGUGGGGGGCGAUCCGG
rnacentral:rRNA from 1 species